rnacentral:rRNA from 1 species
UACGAAGGGGGCUAGCGUUGUUCGGAAUUACUGGGCGUAAAGGGCGCGUAGGCGGCCUAAUAAGUCAGAUGUGAAAGGCCUGAGCUUAACUUGGGAACUGCAUUUGAUACUGUUAGGCUAGAGAGUGAGAGAGGAAAGUGGAAUUGCGAGUGUAGAGGUGAAAUUCGUAGAUAUUCGCAAGAACACCAGUGGCGAAGGCGGCUUUCUGGCUCACAACUGACGCUAAGGCGCGAAAGCGUGGGGAGCAAACAGG